UACGGAGGAUCCAAGCGUUAUCCGGAUUUAUUGGGUUUAAAGGGUGCGUAGGCGGCCUAUUAAGUCAGGGGUGAAAGACGGUGGCUCAACCAUCGCAGUGCCUUUGAUACUGAUGGGCUUGAAUGAACCUGAGGUAGGCGGAAUGUGGCAAGUAGCGGUGAAAUGCAUAGAUAUGUCACAGAACACCAAUUGCGAAGGCAGCUUACUAAAGUUUAAUUGACGCUGAGGCACGAAAGCGUGGGGAUCAAACAGG
rnacentral:rRNA from 1 species